CAGUCCCUCCCAUUCCCCCAGUUCCCCCCAGUCCCCAGUCCCCUCCCAGUCCUCCCAUUCCCCCAGUUUCCCCCAGUCCCCCCAGUCCCUCCCAGUCCCUCCCAUUCCCCCAGUCUCACCAGCAGCCCCUGGCUGGGCCGCAGGGACCCCUCAGGUUCCGGGGGGGCUCCCCCGGCUCCCCCCCCGCCCGUCCUCGCCCGGCCCCGCCGGUCCUCCCCCCCCCGGGGGGGCUUCUCCUCCUCCUCCAUGGACGGCGACCGCCUGCAAGGGGAAAAUGGCAAUUGCCACCCCAAAACCGGGGUUUGGACCCAAAAAUGGGAUUUUGUACCCAAAAAAUGGCAAUUGCCACCCCAAAACCGGGGUUUGGACCCAAAAAUGGGAUUUUGUACCCAAAAAUGGCAAUUGCCACCCCAAAAUUGGGAUGUUGUACCCCAAAUUGGGAUUUUGUACCCAAAAAAUGGCAAUUGCCACCCCAAAAUCGGGGUUUGUACCCCAAAAAUGGGAUUUUGUACCCCAAAAAAUGGCAAUUGCCACCCCAAAAUCGGGGUUUGGACCCCAAAAUGGGGUUUUGUACCCCAAAAUGGCAAUUGCCACCCCAAAAUCGGGGGUUUGUACCCCCAAAAUGGGAUUUUGUACCCAAAAAAUGGCAAUUGCCACCCCAAAAUCGGGGUUUGGACCCCAAAAAUGGGAUUUUGUACCCAAAAAAUGGCAAUUGCCACCCCAAAAUUGGGGUUUUCUACCCCAAAAUUGGGCCCUUGUACCCCAAAUUGGGAUUUUCUACCCCAAAAUUGGGAUUUUCUACCCAAAAAAAUGGCAAUUUCCACCCCAAAAUUGGGGUUUGUACCCAAAAAAUGGGAUUUUGUACCCAAAAAUUGGCAAUUUCCACCCCAAAAUUGGGGUUUUGUACCCAAAAAAAUGGCAAUUUCCACCCCAAAAUGGGGAUUUUGUACCCAAAAAAAUGGCAAUUUCUACCCCAAAAUUGGGGUUUUCUACCCCAAAUUGGGAUUUUUCUACCCCAAAAUUGGGGUUUUGUACCCAAAAAUGGCAAUUUCCAUCCCAAAAUUGGGAUUUUCUAUUCCCAAAAUUGGGAUUUUCUACCCCAAAAUUGGGAUUUUGUACCCAAAAUUGGGAUUUUGUAUCCCAAAUUGGGAUUUUCUAUCCCAAAUUGGGAUUUUCUACCCCAAUUUCUCCCUCUGCUCGAAUUCCCAAUUUUCCCUUUUUUUUUCCAGCCUAAAUUUUCCUUUUUUUGCUCUCAAAAUCCUCAAUUCUUGCCCCAAAAUUCUCAUCCUUGUACUAAACCCCAAAUCUCACCUUUGCUCCUCAUUUUUAUCCCAAAACCCUCAAUUUCUCCCCAAAAUCCCAAUCCUAAAAUUCUCCUUCCUGUCCUAAACCCCCCAAAUAUCCCAAAUCCUGCCCCAAUCCCCAUUUUUAACCCAAAAUCCUCAAUUUCUCCCCAAAAUUCUCAAUUUUUACCCCAAAAUCCCAA
rnacentral:lncRNA from 1 species